rnacentral:lncRNA from 1 species
UUGAAUUCACAGUAUUUCCCUAAGGAAUUUAAUCGCCUUUUAGUACCAAAGGUUAUAAAUUAUUUCCUCCCAAGAUAGAACGAAUUACACACUGGUGUAAUGGUACUUCAAACCCCAGUGUUUCAGCGAACACAACGUUCUAUAGCAAAUCACACUUACUUUUGUUUUGUUUGAUGCUAAAAGUAUACAGAAGAAGGAGAGAAAACUCAGAAAAUCGUAGUUGAAUUUUGAGCAGGAUAGCUAAAAGUAUUUAUAGUCAAAGUUGGGCUGAAAUCUGAAGAGGUGCAACUCUUCAGAAUGGAUGUUUAUGCAAAAAGGCCACAACAUAAAUGCCGUUACAUAAAUGGUCAUUUACUCAACAAUAAAGAGGGAAAAUAAAGAGAAAAUUUUGAAGAGGAUUGGAUUUAAUACUAAUAUUUUACUAUUAACAAAUGAAUUUGGUCCAAAUCCAAAUCUAAAGCCGAGCGAUGACGAUGAC